UUAAAAAGCUCGUAGUUGAAUUUCUGCUGCUUUGCUUUUGCUCCUUUACGAGUUUUAGCAUUGUGGCUUAUUUCGGAUUUGCUUGCAUUUCCGGAUGUUUACUUUGAGAAAAUUAGAGUGCUCAAAGCAGGCUUUUGCCUUGAAUAGUUUAGCAUGGAAUAAUAAAGUAGGACUUUGGUUCUAUUUUGUUGGUUUUAGGUACCAAAGUAAUGGUUAAUAGGAACAGUUGGGGGCAUUCGUAUUUAACUGUCAGAGGUGAAAUUCUUAGAUUUGUUAAAGACGAACUACUGCGAAAGCAUUUGCCAAGGAUGUUUUCAUUAAUCAAGAACGAAAGUUAGGGGAUCGAAGACGAUCAGAUACCGUCGUAGUCCUAACCAUAAACUAUGCCGACUAGAGAUUGGAGGUCGUCAGUUUUUACGACUC
rnacentral:rRNA from 1 species